rnacentral:misc_RNA from 1 species
GAUGAAGAACGUAGCGAAAUGCGAUACUUGGUGUGAAUUGCAGAAUCCCGUGAACCAUCGAGUCUUUGAACGCAAGUUGCGCCCGAAGCCAUUAGGCCGAGGGCACGCCUGCCUGGGCGUCACACGUCGUUGCCCCCCCAUCUACUCCUUCGGGAUUGCGGGGGGCGGAUGUUGGCCUCCCGUGCGCCUUGUCGCGCGGUUGGCAUAAAUGCCAAGUCCUCGGCGACGCACGCCACGACAAUCGGUGGUUGCGAAACCUCGGUUGCCCGUCGUGUGCGGUCGUCGCGCAUCGAGGGCUCGAAAAAAUUGUCGGGCUCCGGCUCGGCUUUCAACGCGACCCCAGGUCAGGCGGGGUUACCCGCUGAAUUUAAGCAUAUCAAUAAGCGGAGGA